rnacentral:rRNA from 1 species
UACGUAGGCAGCAAGCGUUGUCCGGAAUCAUUGGGCGUAAAGCGCGUGUAGGCGGUCCGGUAAGUCCGCUGUGAAAGUCGGGGGCUCAACCCUCGGAUGCCGGUGGAUACUGUCGGGCUUGAGUACGGAAGAGGCGAGUGGAAUUCCUGGUGUAGCGGUGAAAUGCGCAGAUAUCAGGAGGAACACCAAUUACGAAGGCAGCUCGCUGGGACGUUACUGACGCUGAGACGCGAAAGCGUGGGGAGCAAACAGG